rnacentral:rRNA from 1 species
AGAGUUGAUCAUGGCUCAGGAUGAACGCUGGCGGCGUGCCUAACACAUGCAAGUCGAGCGGAGAUAAGUUGAAGCCUAGCGAUUCUUAUCUUAGCGGCGGAUGGGUGAGUAACACGUGGGUAACCUGCCCUGUACUGGGGAAUAACAGCUGGAAACGGCUGUUAAUGCCGCAUAUGCGCACGGAGCCGCAUGGCUUUGGGCGGAAAGAUUUAUCGGUACAGGAUGGGCCCGCGCCGGAUUAACUAGUUGGCGGGGUAACGGCCCACCAAGGUGAUGAUCCGUAGCCGACCUGAGAGGGUGACCGGCCACAUUGGGACUGAGACACGGCCCAAACUCCUACGGGAGGCAGCAGUGGGGGAUAUUGCACAAUGGGGGAAACCCUGAAUGCAGCGACGCCGCGUGAAGGAUGACGUAUUUCGGUAUGUAAACUUCUAUCAGCGGGGAAGAAGAUGACGGUACCCGACUAAGAAGCCCCGGCUAACUACGUGCCAGCAGCCGC